rnacentral:rRNA from 1 species
UACGUAGGUGGCAAGCGUUGUCCGGAAUUAUUGGGCGUAAAGCGUCCGCAGGCGGCUUUUUAAGUCUGUUGUCAAAGCCCACAGCUCAACUGUGGAUCGGCAAUGGAAACUGGGAAGCUAGAGUGUGGUAGGGGUAGAGGGAAUUCCCGGUGUAGCGGUGAAAUGCGUAGAUAUCGGGAAGAACACCAGUGGCGAAGGCGCUCUACUGGGCCACAACUGACGCUGAGGGACGAAAGCUAGGGGAGCGAAAGGG